rnacentral:rRNA from 1 species
UACGGAGGGUGCGAGCGUUGUUCGAAAUCACUGGGCGUAAAGCGCGUGUAGGCGGCCCAUUAAGUCUGAUGUGAAAGCCCGGGGCUCACCCCCGGAAGUGCAUUGGAAACUGAUGGACUCGAGUCCCGGAGAGGAGAGUGGAAUUCCUGGUGUAGCGGUGAAAUGCGUAGAUAUCAGGAGGAACACCGGUGGCGAAGGCGGCUCUCUGGACGGUGACUGACGCUGAGACGCGAAAGCGUGGGGAGCAAACAGG